GACAUUUAAGUGACUUCUCGCGUUGGUCACGCUCGGUAUCCUUAUUCUCUAAUAACCACCUGCAUAUUCGCUUCAGUGUCCCUACACUGUCGACUCGAGACUCGUCUACCCAAAGAGGGAAGCGACCUAUGCACCAAUCUAAUCAGAUCAAUCACCGUCCCGGUGAUAGAUCCAUUGAUCGGGAGCAUUUAGGAAUUAACCACCAAUAAUACAUGUCUCAAAUUCUCAACUCUUGAGAAUAUAUGUCAUCAUCUUAUUAAUUGUUUGGACGAUUCAUGAACACAUACACAAUAUGAAUAAAAAUAAGAACCCAAAUUUAUUUAUAAUAUUUUAAAAUCAAAUAAAAAUUUAUAUUCUAAAAAAAAUAUAUAUGUCAGUCUGAUUCACUUCUACAGCAUACAUCUAACAUCACUAUAUAUACAAAAAAAAAAGAAAAAAAAAAAGAGGAGGAAUCACUACAACAGAAUUAGGUUAUAGGGACACAUGUUUGGGACACUUUUGAGUAAAUGUCCCAUUUAUUCUAAAACUUAAAAAAACAUCUACUAAUGCCUAAAUAUAAAGCCCAAUCCAACCAAAAAUAAAAGAUUACUCUACUCAACCCACCACACCCAAUCCAUUUGGCCUGAUUACGAACAGAAUAGAAAAAAAAAAGAAAAAUCAAUUACCAUCUUUUCUUCUCUCUUCACUCAAUCCACUGAAAUUCUAGACGAAAAGCCUUUCCUGUCGUCCUCCUCCGCCAUCGCAGCCAACGAGAUAGAGUUUCGGAGGUUGCUAAAUGCUUAAAUAAGUGUUGGUAAAUUAGCAGCACUCUUUUAGGUUAUAGCGACACUCUUUAACUGUCACUAUAUACCUAGCGACCCCACAUAUAGCAACACUUUUUAAAAGU
rnacentral:lncRNA from 1 species